AUUGAACGCUGGCGGCAUGCCUUACACAUGCAAGUCGAACGGUAACGGGCCUUCGGGUGCCGACGAGUGGCGAACGGGUGAGUAAUGUAUCGGAACGUACCUUUCAGUGGGGGAUAACGUAGCGAAAGUUACGCUAAUACCGCAUAUUCUGUGCGCAAGAAAGCAGGGGAUCGCAAGACCUUUCGCUGAUUGAGCGGCCGAUAUCCGAUUAGCUAGUUGGUGAGGUAAAGGCUCACCAAGGCGACGAUCUGUAGCGGGUCUGAGAGGAUGAUCCGCCACACUGGAACUGAGACACGGUCCAGACUCCUACGGGAGGCAGCAGUGGGGAAUUUUGGACAAUGGGGGCAACCCUGAUCCAGCCAUGCCGCGUGAGUGAAGAAGGCCUUCGGGUUGUAAAGCUCUUUCGGCCGGGAAGAAAUCGUAUCAGCUAAUACCUGGUGCGGAUGACGGUACCGGCAUAAGAAGCACCGGCUAACUACGUGCCAGCCGCCGCCGUAACAC
rnacentral:rRNA from 1 species